rnacentral:rRNA from 1 species
CGGCGCACGGGUGAGUAACACGUAUCCAACCUGCCGUCUACUCUUGGCCAGCCUUCUGAAAGGAAGAUUAAUCCAGGAUGGGAUCAUGAGUUCACAUGUCCGCAUGAUUAAAGGUAUUUUCCGGUAGACGAUGGGGAUGCGUUCCAUUAGAUAGUAGGCGGGGUAACGGCCCACCUAGUCAACGAUGGAUAGGGGUUCUGAGAGGAAGGUCCCCCACAUUGGAACUGAGACACGGUCCAAACUCCUACGGGAGGCAGCAGCGAGGAAUAUUGGUCAAUGGGCGAUGGCCUGAACCAGCCAAGUAGCGUGAAGGAUGACUGCCCUAUGGGUUGUAAACUUCUUUUAUAAAGGAAUAAAGUCGGGUAUGCAUACCCGUUUGCAUGUACUUUAUGAAUAAGGAUCGGCUAACUCCGUGCCAGCAGCCGCGGUAAUACGGAGGAUCCGAGCGUUAUCCGGAUUUAUUGGGUUUAAAGGGAGCGUAGAUGGAUGUUUAAGUCAGUUGUGAAAGUUUGCGGCUCAACCGUAAAAUUGCAGUUGAUACUGGAUGUCUUGAGUGCAGUUGAGGCAGGCGGAAUUCGU